CGUACACUCCUACGGGAGGCAGCAGUGGGGAAUAUUGCACAAUGGGCGCAAGCCUGAUGCAGCCAUGCCGCGUGUAUGAAGAAGGCCUUCGGGUUGUAAAGUACUUUCAGCGGGGAGGAAGGCGAUAAGGUUAAUAACCUUGUUGAUUGACGUUACCCGCAGAAGAAGCACCGGCUAACUCCGUGCCAGCAGCCGCGGUAAUACGGAGGGUGCAAGCGUUAAUCGGAAUUACUGGGCGUAAAGCGCACGCAGGCGGUCUGUCAAGUCGGAUGUGAAAUCCCCGGGCUCAACCUGGGAACUGCAUUCGAAACUGGCAGGCUAGAGUCUUGUAGAGGGGGGUAGAAUUCCAGGUGUAGCGGUGAAAUGCGUAGAGAUCUGGAGGAAUACCGGUGGCGAAGGCGGCCCCCUGGACAAAGACUGACGCUCAGGUGCGAAAGCGUGGGGAGCAAACAGGAUUAGAAACCCGGGUAGUCCCAU
rnacentral:rRNA from 1 species